rnacentral:rRNA from 2 species
GAUGAACGCUGGCGGCGUGCCUAAUACAUGCAAGUCGAACGAGUUCUGAUUAUUGAAAGGUGCUUGCAUCUUGAUUUAAUUUUGAACGAGUGGCGGACGGGUGAGUAACACGUGGGUAACCUGCCCUUAAGUGGGGGAUAACAUUUGGAAACAGAUGCUAAUACCGCAUAAAUCCAAGAACCGCAUGGUUCUUGGCUGAAAGAUGGCGUAAGCUAUCGCUUUUGGAUGGACCCGCGGCGUAUUAGCUAGUUGGUGAGGUAACGGCUCACCAAGGCAAUGAUACGUAGCCGAACUGAGAGGUUGAUCGGCCACAUUGGGACUGAGACACGGCCCAAACUCCUACGGGAGGCAGCAGUAGGGAAUCUUCCACAAUGGACGCAAGUCUGAUGGAGCAACGCCGCGUGAGUGAAGAAGGCUUUCGGGUCGUAAAACUCUGUUGUUGGAGAAGAAUGGUCGGCAGAGUAACUGUUGUCGGCGUGACGGUAUCCAACCAGAAAGCCACGGCUAACUACGUGCCAGCAGCCGCGGUAAUACGUAGGUGGCAAGCGUUAUCCGGAUUUAUUGGGCGUAAAGCGAGCGCAGGCGGUUUUUUAAGUCUGAUGUGAAAGCCCUCGGCUUAACCGAGGAAGUGCAUCGGAAACUGGAAAACUUGAGUGCAGAAGAGGACAGUGGAACUCCAUGUGUAGCGGUGAAAUGCGUAGAUAUAUGGAAGAACACCAGUGGCGAAGGCGGCUGUCUGGUCUGUAACUGACGCUGAGGCUCGAAAGCAUGGGUAGCGAACAGG